GAUGAACGCUGGCGGCGUGCCUAAUACAUGCAAGUCGAGCGAAUGGAUUGAGAGCUUGCUCUUAUGAAGUUGGCGGCGGACGGGUGAGUAACACGUGGGUAACCUGCCCAUAAGACUGGGAUAACUCCGGGAAACCGGGGCUAAUACCGGAUAACAUUUUGAACCGCAUGGUUCGAAAUUGAAAGGCGGCUUCGGCUGUCACUUAUGGAUGGACCCGCGUUGCAUUAGCUAGUUGGUGAGGUAACGGCUCACCAAGGCAACGAUGCGUAGCCGACCUGAGAGGGUGAUCGGCCACACUGGGACUGAGACACGGCCCAGACUCCUACGGGAGGCAGCAGUAGGGAAUCUUCCGCAAUGGACGAAAGUCUGACGGAGCAACGCCGCGUGAGUGAUGAAGGCUUUCGGGUCGUAAAAUUCUGUUGUUAGGGAAGAACAAGUGCUAGUUGAAUAAGCUGGCACCUUGACGGUACCUAACCAGAAAGCCACGGCUAACUACGUGCCAGCCGCCGCAGUAA
rnacentral:rRNA from 1 species